UUUCCUAUCUAUGUGCCUCUGACCAAGUUACGUGCCAUCAGUCGCAGGUAAUACGUAGCAAGCACUAGUGUUAUUCAUCUUUAAUAGGUUUAAAGGGUACCUAGCCGGUAAAUCAAGUCCAAAAAGGAUACUAAUUUGCUAGAGUUUAAUGUGAGGGGGCACUAAAGUACUGAUAAGUGUAGAGAUGAAAUUCUGUGAUACAAUAUAAGGACAGGUAAAGGCGAAAGCAUCUCAUUAUGUAAUAACUGACGUUGAGGGACGAAGGCUAGGAGAAGCAAAAAGGAUUAGAUACCCAAGUAGUCUUAGCAGAAAAUUAUGAAUGUCAUAGGAUGGAAAUAGUGGACAACAAUUUUUUUCUAUAAAUGAAAGUGUAAGCAUUCCACCUCGAGAGUAAUUUGGCAACAUUGGAACUGAAAUCAUUAGACCGUUUCUGAAACAAGUAGUGAAGUAUGUUGUUUAAUUUGAUAGUCCGCAAAAAACCUUACCACAAUUUGAAUAGAAAUUUUUUAUUUCGACACAAGCGGUGCACGGUUGUCGUCCAGUUAAUGUCGUGGAUGCGCCGUUAG
rnacentral:rRNA from 1 species